rnacentral:rRNA from 1 species
UCUCGCAGCCCCCGGUAAUACGAACSGUMCAARCGUUAUUCGGAAUUAUUGGGCUUAAAGGGUGCGUAGGCUGCGCGGAAAGUUGGGUGUGAAAGCCCUCGGCUCAACCGAGGAAUUGCGCCCAAAACURCCGUGCUCGAGGGAGACAGAGGUGAGCGGAACUCAAGGUGGAGCGGUGAAAUGCGUUGAUAUCUUGAGGAACACCGGUGGCGAAAGCGGCUCACUGGGUCUCUUCUGACGCUGAGGCACGAAAGCCARGGUAGCAAACGGGAUUAGAUACCCCGGUAGUCYUGGCCGUAAACGAUGAGCACUUGAUUGGAGGGUCCUCCAUASCCUYCCAGUCGUAGCGAAAGUGUUAAGUGCUCCGCCUGGGGAGUAUGGUCGCAAGGCUGAAACUC